CGAAGAGAGAAUCUUACAGUGGAGCUCUGCUGGAUUGUCGCCAGCGGGAGAAUCUCUGAACCAGGAGUGGAGCAUGAGGAAGGAAAAGUGAGAGGGAAUCAGUACCGAAGGAAAAAGUUUCAGGGAAAUUUACCGUCAAACCAUAGAGAAACAGACGCUAAUCUUGGUCUGCUUUUCUAGUUUCAAGUGGUGGUUUGGAGAAGAAGAUUCCGACCAGAUCUGAGCAGUAGAGAAAAGAUUUGGGGUGUGUUUCAACCGCAACGCUAUUUUUCAAACUUGACUUUUCAACGUGAAUACAAGGAAAACGAUAAUUUCUACUAAUAUUUCAGUGAUGUCAAGUUUAAUAGUGAGAAGGGCAUCGUGUGAAGAUAAACAAAUGGGUAAAAGGACACGAGAACAGCUUUGGUGUGAUGAUGUCGUCUCUACAGCUCCUGGAAAGUCUUUAGAGAAUAAGAUUGAUUCAAGCUUUGAGAAGAAAUUUCGAAAACUGAAAUCUUGUGUUCCAUCCUCACAUCCUUGCUUAUCUUCACGACAAACGGUGCAUGCUUCAAAUUCACCUAAUUGUAAAGAUGUUAGUCUGAAGACUCUCAAAGAUGUAGCCCAUAAAGAAGUUAGUGUGAAAACUCUCAAAGAUGUUGCCCCUGACUCAAGCGAAACCGGACCAUUUAUUCCCAUUGGUCCUGGUUUCCAGGCUGAAAUUCCGGUUUGGAUUGCCCUUACAAAGAAGGGCAAAUUUUAUGGUAGUCCUGGAGAUUCCGACACUCUUAGAUGGUUGGGUACUGGUGUGUGGCCGACAUAUAGCCUAAAGAAGAAAUUUCAUUACAAAAAAGUCGGUGAAGGAAGAUCAGAUUCUUGUUCUUGUGCUUCUCCAAGAUCAACCAAUUGCAUAAAACAACAUAUUAAAGAAGCACGAGAGCUUCUAGAAAAAGAAAUUGACCGUGCUUUCUAUACUUGGAAGUUUGAUCAAAUGGGUAAAGUUAGAUCAAAAUCAUGGACGACCAAAGAAGGGCAAAGGUUCGAAGCUGUUGUGAAAAAUAAUUGUUUGUCAAAUAGUGAAGGAAUUUGGAAAUCUGUUUCAAAGGCUUGCUAACUCUUCUGCUGAGAAACUGGAUGAAGGCCUUGAUGAUAGCUGUAAUCUUUGCAGAUGUUUGUCUUGAACACAGGUACAAGAACUUCAGAGCUGGGAAUGAUAAACAACAUAGGACCAAGAGCUGCAAACUUGGUUGGAGCUGGUGAUGCUGUUAAUGCUCACGCAAAUAGCCAGGAAAUACAAGCACCAGCUGGGGAGAACUACAGUUUUGAGAUUAAGGCUGGGUUUAUAAACAUGGUGCAGAGCAAUAAAUUUUAUAGGUAAGCUAUAAUAGACCCUCUUGAUCAUCUGGAUCACUUUGAUAUAAUCUGUGGGCUGAAAAAGAUGAAUGGGUUAUCAGAAAACAGCUUCAAGCUCAAGCUUUUCCAUUUUCAUCUUGGAGACAAAACACAUCUAUGGGAGAAGAACCUUCCUCAAGGCUCUAUCAUUACAUGGGACCAAUGCAAGAAAGCUUUAGUAGCCAAGUUCUUCUCCAGCUCUAGAACUGCUAGGCUGAGGAAUGAAAUAUCAAGCUUCACAAAAAAUAACCGUGAUAGCUUUUGUGAAGCAUAGGAAAGGUUCAAGAGUUAUACUAUUCAUAGCCCUCAUCAUGACUUCAAUAAUGACUCACUCCUUAACACUCUUUAUAGGGGAGCAUUGCCCAAGAUAAGAUUACUCCUAGAUACAGCUUCAACUGAAAAUUUUUUGGCUAGAGAGGUGAAUGAAAUUAUGGGAUUAGUAGAGAACUUAGCUCAGAGCGAUGAGAGCAAUGGUGAAGAGUAUAACAGAGCUUCAAGGAGAGAUGUGAGUUUGAAAAAAGAAAAGACAAGGAAGGACAUCAAAUCACUAAAUGAGAAGCCAGAAAAACUUCUCCUAGCCUCUCAAAAGUCUGUCAAUUUUGUUGGAGAUCUACACCAAGAAUUCCAAGACAAUGUUCAAUGUGAAGACAUAACAGCAGAAGUGAAUCAACCCAAUUUUUUUUAAGAAGCGGAAAUGUAGCCAACCCACAAGACCAAGUCUAUCACACCGAGAAGAACUUUUCUCAAUGUGUCCAACAACAAGGCUUUAUCGCUCCCCAACAACAAAGUUUAGCUCAGGGCCUAAAGAUCAAGAAGUGAAGAACAUGCUUCAACAGCUACUACAGUGUCAAGCUUGUGUUGCUAUGGACUUGAGCAAGAAAAUGGCAGAGAUCCACAACAAAGUAUACUGCUCAUAUUCUGACCUGACUUCAAAGGUUGAGACUUUACACACCAAGAUAAAGCAAAUGGAGAAUCAAAGUGCUCAAAAAGCUUCCCUCACUAGUAGAAGCAUGGAGAAACUAAAGAGCAAUGUUGGAGAAAACUAAAAGGCGUAUUGCAAUGCCAUUUUCUCCAAUGAAGUCCAUUAUAUUGCUGAAAAUUAAGCUGAUAUAAAGGAGGUUGAGAUUCUACUUUAUAGUCCACAAACUACAACUCAAUGAGGAAAUUGAGCAACUAGAUGGGGACGUAGCCAUUAAUACUGGUGUUGCUGUGCUGAAGGACGCCUAUGAAGCUUCUAAAUACAUGGCUGGGGUCGUUGCUGAAGAGAAAGCCAAGGAGAAGCCCAAGGAAGAAGAGAAAGCUUAUGUGCCACCAGCUUAUGAGCCAUCACUCCCAUUUCCAGGUACAAGAACUUCAGAGCUGGGAAUGAUAAACAACAUAGGACCAAGAGCUGCAAACUUGGUUGGAGCUGGUGAUGCUGUUAAUGCUCAAGCAAAUAGCCAGGAAAUACAAGCACCAGCUGGGGAGAACUACAGUUUUGAGAUCAAGGCUGGGUUUAUAAACAUGGUGCAGAGCAAUAAAUUUUAUGGGUAAGCUAUAAUUGACCCUCUUGAUCAUCUGGAUCACUUUGAUAUAAUCUGUGGGCUGAAAAAGAUGAAUGGGUUAUCAGAAAACAGUUUCAAGCUCAAGCUUUUCCAUUUUCGUCUUGGAGACAAAACACAUCUAUGGGAGAAGAACCUUCCUCAAGGCUCUAUCAUUACAUGGGACCAAUGCAAGAAAGCUUUAGUAGCCAAGUUCUUCUCCAGCUCUAGAACUGCUAGGCUGAGGAAUGAAAUAUCAAGCUUCACAAAAAAUAACCGUGAUAGCUUUUGUGAAGCAUAGGAAAGGUUCAAGAGUUAUACUAUUCAUUGCCCUCAUCAUGACUUCAAUAAUGACUCACUCCUUAACACUCUUUAUAGGGGAGCAUUGCCCAAGAUAAGAUUACUCCUAGAUACAGCUUCAACUGAAAAUGUUUUGGCUCAAGAGGUGAAUGAAAUUAUGGGAUUAGUAGAGAACUUAGCUCAGAGCGAUGAGAUCAAUGGUGAAGAGUAUAACAGAGCUUCAAGGAGAGAUGUGAGUUUGAAAAAAGAAAAGACAAGGAAGGACAUCAAAUCACUAAAUGAGAAGCCAGAAAAACUUCUCCUAGCCUCUCAAAAGUCUGUCAAUUUUGUUGGAGAUCUACACCAAGGAUUCCAAGACAAUGUUCAAUGUGAAGACAUAACAGCAGAAGUGAAUCAACCCAAUUUUUUUUAAGAAGCGGAAAUGUAGCCAACCCACAAGACCAAGUCUAUCACACCGAGAAGAACUUUUCUCAAUGUGUCCAACAACAAGGCUUUAUCGCUACCCAACAACAAAGUUUAGCUCAGGGCCUAAAGAUCAAGAAGUGAAGAACAUGCUUCAACAACUACUACAGUGUCAAGCUUGUGUUGCUAUGGACUUGAGCAAGAAAAUGGCAGAGAUCCACAACAAAGUAUACUGCUCAUAUUCUGACCUGACUUCAAAGGUUGAGACUUUACACACCAAGAUAAAGCAAAUGGAGAAUCAAAGUGCUCAAAAAGCUUCCCUCACUAGUAGAAGCAUGGAGAAACUAAAGAGCAAUGUUGGAGAAAACUAAAAGGCGUAUUGCAAUGCCAUUUUCUCCAAUGAAGUCCAUUAUAUUGCUGAAAAUGAAGCUGAUAUAAAGGAGGUUGAGAUUCUACUUUAUAGUCCACAAACUACAACUCAAUGAGGAAAUUGAGCAACUAGAUGGGGACGUAGCCAUUAAUACUGGUGUUGCUGUGCUGAAGGACGCCUAUGAAGCUUCUAAAUACAUGGCUGGGGUCGUUGCUGAAGAGAAAGCCAAGGAGAAGCCCAAGGAAGAAGAGAAAGCUUAUGUGCCACCAGCUUAUGAGCCAUCACUCCCAUUUCCAGGUACAAGAACUUCAGAGCUGGGAAUGAUAAACAACAUAGGACCAAGAGCUGCAAACUUGGUUGGAGCUGGUGAUGCUGUUAAUGCUCAAGCAAAUAGCCAGGAAAUACAAGCACCAGCUGGGGAGAACUACAGUUUUGAGAUCAAGGCUGGGUUUAUAAACAUGGUGCAGAGCAAUAAAUUUUAUGGGUACAAGAACUUCAGAGCUGGGAAUGAUAAACAACAUAGGAACAAGAGCUGCAAACUUGGUUGGAGCUGGUGAUGCUGUUAAUGCUCAAGCAAAUAGCCAGGAAAUACAAGCACCAGCUGGGGAGAACUACAGUUUUGAGAUCAAGGCUGGGUUUAUAAACAUGGUGCAGAGCAAUAAAUUUUAUGGGUAAGCUAUAAUAGACCCUCUUGAUCAUCUGGAUCACUUUGAUAUAAUCUGUGGGCUGAAAAAGAUGAAUGGGUUAUCAGAAAACAGUUUCAAGCUCAAGCUUUUCCAUUUUCGUCUUGGAGACAAAACACAUCUAUGGGAGAAGAACCUUCCUCAAGGCUCUAUCAUUACAUGGGACCAAUGCAAGAAAGCUUUAGUAGCCAAGUUCUUCUCCAGCUCUAGAACUGCUAGGCUGAGGAAUGAAAUAUCAAGCUUCACAAAAAAUAACCGUGAUAGCUUUUGUGAAGCAUAGGAAAGGUUCAAGAGUUAUACUAUUCAUUGCCCUCAUCAUGACGUCAAUAAUGACUCACUCCUUAACACUCUUUAUAGGGGAGCAUUGCCCAAGAUAAGAUUACUCCUAGAUACAGCUUCAACUGAAAAUGUUUUGGCUCAAGAGGUGAAUGAAAUUAUGGGAUUAGUAGAGAACUUAGCUCAGAGCGAUGAGAUCAAUGGUGAAGAGUAUAACAGAGCUUCAAGGAGAGAUGUGAGUUUGAAAAAAGAAAAGACAAGGAAGGACAUCAAAUCACUAAAUGAGAAGCCAGAAAAACUUCUCCUAGCCUCUCAAAAGUCUGUCAAUUUUGUUGGAGAUCUACACCAAGGAUUCCAAGACAAUGUUCAAUGUGAAGACAUAACAGCAGAAGUGAAUCAACCCAAUUUUUUUUAAGAAGCGGAAAUGUAGCCAACCCACAAGCCCAAGUCUAUCACACCGAGAAGAACUUUUCUCAAUGUGUCCAACAACAAGGCUUUAUCGCUCCCCAACAACAAAGUUUAGCUCAGGGCCUAAAGAUCAAGAAGUGAAGAACAUGCUUCAACAACUACUACAGUGUCAAGCUUGUGUUGCUAUGGACUUGAGCAAGAAAAUGGCAGAGAUCCACAACAAAGUAUACUGCUCAUAUUCUGACCUGACUUCAAAGGUUGAGACUUUACACACCAAGAUAAAGCAAAUGGAGAAUCAAAGUGCUCAAAAAGCUUCCCUCACUAGUAGAAGCAUGGAGAAACUAAAGAGCAAUGUUGGAGAAAACUAAAAGGCGUAUUGCAAUGCCAUUUUCUCCAAUGAAGUCCAUUAUAUUGCUGAAAAUGAAGCUGAUAUAAAGGAGGUUGAGAUUCUACUUUAUAGUCCACAAACUACAACUCAAUGAGGAAAUUGAGCAACUAGAUGGGGACGUAGCCAUUAAUACUGGUGUUGCUGUGCUGAAGGACGCCUAUGAAGCUUCUAAAUACAUGGCUGGGGUCGUUGCUGAAGAGAAAGCCAAGGAGAAGCCCAAGGAAGAAGAGAAAGCUUAUGUGCCACCAGCUUAUGAGCCAUCACUCCCAUUUCCAGGUACAAGAACUUCAGAGCUGGGAAUGAUAAACAACAUAGGAACAAGAGCUGCAAACUUGGUUGGAGCUGGUGAUGCUGUUAAUGCUCAAGCAAAUAGCCAGGAAAUACAAGCACCAGCUGGGGAGAACUACAGUUUUGAGAUCAAGGCUGGGUUUAUAAACAUGGUGCAGAGCAAUAAAUUUUAUGG